GAUGAACGCUGGCGGCGUGGCUAAUACAUGCAAGUAGAACGCUGAAGGAGGAGCUUGCUCUUCUGGAUGAGUUGCGAACGGGUGAGUAACGCGUAGGUAACCUGCCUGGUAGCGGGGGAUAACUAUUGGAAACGAUAGCUAAUACCGCAUGACAACAGUUAUUGCAUGAUAACUGUUUAAAAGGGGCAACUGCUCCACUACCAGAUGGACCUGCGUUGUAUUAGCUAGUUGGUGAGGUAACGGCUCACCAAGGCGACGAUACAUAGCCGACCUGAGAGGGUGAUCGGCCACACUGGGACUGAGACACGGCCCAGACUCCUACGGGAGGCAGCAGUAGGGAAUCUUCGGCAAUGGACGGAAGUCUGACCGAGCAACGCCGCGUGAGUGAAGAAGGUUUUCGGAUCGUAAAGCUCUGUUGUAAGAGAAGAACGAGUGUGAGAGUGGAAAGUUCACACUGUGACGGUAUCUUACCAGAAAGGGACGGCUAACUACGUG
rnacentral:rRNA from 1 species